rnacentral:lncRNA from 1 species
CGUCAUUUAAUCCCAGCCUAAAGAGAAUUUAAUCCUUUGAAUGUAACAUUGGGAAUGCCGGUCGAAUAUUGGAGUCAUGUUGCUUGGAAAGUUUGAAUUUACCCCAUUCAAAGGUAACACAAUUGUUGUAGUUGGGAGGUACAAACGUCCAAUUUCAACAAUUGUCUUCCUCUGAAUGGGGCAAUUCAAACUUGUUAAACGGCAGGAAUCCAGCAUGCGAU